rnacentral:rRNA from 1 species
AUUGAACGCUGGCGGCAUGCUUUACACAUGCAAGUCGAACGGGGAAUUUAUUUCGGUAAAUUCUUAGUGGCGAACGGGUGAGUAACGCGUGGGCAACCUGCCCUUCAGAUGGGGACAACAUCCCGAAAGGGGUGCUAAUACCGAAUACGAUCACGCUGCCGCAUGGCGGUGUGAUGAAAGAUGGCCUCUAUAUAUAAGCUAUCGCUGAAGGAUGGGCCUGCGUCUGAUUAGAUAGUUGGUGGGGUAACGGCCUACCAAGGCGAUGAUCAGUAGCCGGUCUGAGAGGAUGAACGGCCACAUUGGGACUGAGACACGGCCCAAACUCCUACGGGAGGCAGCAGUGGGGAAUAUUCCGCAAGGGAUGAAAGUCUGACAGAGCAACGCCGCGUGAGUGAUGAAGGUUUUCGGACUGUAAAACUCUGUUGUUUAGGACGAAAGUGCCUGUUGCAAACAGUUGCAGGUAUUGACGGUACUGAACGAGGAAGCCACGGCUAACUACGUGCCAGCCGCCGCGGUAACAC